rnacentral:rRNA from 1 species
AUUGAACGCUGGCGGCAUGCUUUACACAUGCAAGUCGAACGGUAACAGGCCUUCGGGUGCUGACGAGUGGCGAACGGGUGAGUAAUGCAUCGGAACGUACCCAGAGGUGGGGGAUAACGCAGCGAAAGCUGUGCUAAUACCGCAUGUGAUCUGAGGAUGAAAGCGGGGGACCGAGCAGCAAUGUUUGGCCUCGCGCCUUUGGAGCGGCCGAUGUCGGAUUAGCUAGUUGGUGGGGUAAAGGCCUACCAAGGCGACGAUCCGUAGCUGGUCUGAGAGGACGACCAGCCACACUGGGACUGAGACACGGCCCAGACUCCUACAGGAGGCAGCAGUGGGGAAUUUUGGACAAUGGGCGCAAGCCUGAUCCAGCAAUGCCGCGUGCGGGAAGAAGGCCUUCGGGUUGUAAACCGCUUUUGGCAGGAACGAAACGGUGUCCGCUAAUACCGGGCGCUAAUGACGGUACCUGCAGAAUAAGCACCGGCUAACUACGUG